rnacentral:rRNA from 1 species
UACGUAGGUGGCGAGCGUUGUCCGGAUUUAUUGGGCGUAAAGCGCGCGUAGGCGGUGUCGCAAGUCGGCCGUGAAAUCUCCAGGCUCAACUUGGAGGGGUCGGGCGAGACUGCGGCGCUGGAGGCAGGCAGAGGGCGGUGGAAUUCCGGGUGUAGUGGUGGAAUGCGUAGAGAUCCGGAGGAACACCAGUGGCGAAGGCGGCCGCCUGGGCCUGACCUGACGCUGAGGCGCGAAAGCGUGGGGAGCGAUCCGG